rnacentral:rRNA from 1 species
UACGUAGGGUGCAAGCGUUGUCCGGAAUUAUUGGGCGUAAAGAGCUCGUAGGUGGUCUGUUGCGUCGGCUGUGAAAACCCGAGGCUCAACCUCGGGCCUGCAGCCGAUACGGGCAGACUAGAGUUCGGCAGGGGAGACUGGAAUUCCUGGUGUAGCGGUGAAAUGCGCAGAUAUCAGGAGGAACACCGGUGGCGAAGGCAGCUCGCUGGGACGUUACUGACGCUGAGACGCGAAAGCGUGGGGAGCAAACAGG